rnacentral:rRNA from 1 species
UGGGGGAUAUUGCACAAUGGGCGAAAGCCUGAUGCAGCGACGCCGCGUGGGGGAUGAAGGCCUUCGGGUUGUAAACUUCUUUUGCUCUGAACAAGGCGCACCAUGGGGUGUGUUGAGUGUAGGGGUUGAUUAGCGCCGGCUAACUACGUGCCAGCAGCCGCGGUAAUACGUAGGGCGCGAGCGUUGUCCGGAAUUAUUGGGCGUAAAGGGCUUGUAGGUGGCUGGUUGCGUCUGUCGUGAAAGCUCAUGGCUUAACUGUGGGUUUGCGGUGGGUACGGGCUGGCUUGAGUGCAGUAGGGGAGGCUGGAAUUCCUGGUGUAGCGGUGGAAUGCGCAGAUAUCAGGAGGAAUACCGGUGGCGAAGGCGGGUCUCUGGGCUGUUACUGACACUGAGGAGCGAAAGCAUGGGGAGCGAACAGA